rnacentral:rRNA from 1 species
UAUUAAAGUUGUUGCGGUUAAAAAGCUCGUAGUCGAAUUUGUGUCCCGCGCCGCCGGUUCAUCGUACGCGGUGUUAACUGGCGUGCCGCGGGACGUCCUGCCGGUGGGCCUAAAUCCGCAAGGACGUCGGCCCGACCCAAUCCCGCCGCGGUGCUCUUGAUUGAGUGUCGAGGUGGGCCGGCACGUUUACUUUGAACAAAUUAGAGUGCUUAAAGCAGGCUAAAACUUCGCCUGAAUACUGUGUGCAUGGAAUAAUGGAAUAGGACCUCGGUUCUAUUUUGUUGGUUUUCGGAACCCCGAGGUAAUGAUUAAUAGGAACGGAUGGGGGCAUUCGUAUUGCGACGUUAGAGGUGAAAUUCUUGGAUCGUCGCAAGACGGACAGAAGCGAAAGCAUU